CACAGGGUUGAUUUUUAUCUGACAAAUAAGUUAUAAGCAAUUGAAGUCGGUCAUCAUAAUUUGUUUGUUGUAAUUACUUACGAGUAACUUGUACAUUCACGUGUCUGAAUUAGUUCUUUGUGUAUGAACUUUAAGCGACUACGACGACGAUGCUGACGUGACAGCCAAUCAAAUUCGUUGAAGGAGUAAACAAAGUUGCUUGAAAAGGAAGAAUCAUAGUGUGGGGAAUGAACACCGAUUCGAUUGACAGUUGCUUAUAUAACUUGGCUUAGGGGAGGUCUUCAUCCAGAUAUGGAUCUAUGUCAAGUCUUUGCUUGAUUAGGUAAACUCAUAGUUAUUCAUGCUUAACAACAAUAUCUUGUUGAGUGGCAAGUGGGCUAAGCAAGAGCUGUUAUAAUGAAAACUGUUUCAACAUCAACUGAUGGUGACAUUGAUGUUUCCGCCAUAUUUGGUACAUGAAUUACACAGAUUAAUAAAUAAGAGAUAUAUUAUCUGAAGAAACUUAGCAAAAAGAAUCUGCAUUUGUGGUGUACGAUAAAAGAAGCAAUUAUAAAAAAUAACUCCGGAAAUAUGCUAGUUUUAAAAUAUAUUGGCGAUUUCGCAAGUCUAUUGUUCAAACAACAAUAGGCUG